AGAAUUUACCCCUGACGCGGCGGCGGCCGACGGGAAGCUGUGUGUGCUUAGGUCGUGGUGGCCCCGGUGGUGGUGGGCUCCGGGCGGGCUCGCGUCAUCCUGCCCCCGCUGCGAUGCAUCCGCGGCGCCCGGACGGAUUUGAUGGCUUGGGCUACCGGGGUGGUGCCCGGGACGAGCAGGGCUUUGGCGGCGCCUUCCCUGCAAGGUCCUUCAGCACCGGGUCGGACCUGGGCCACUGGGUGACGACUCCCCCAGAUAUCCCCGGCAGCCGCAACCUGCACUGGGGCGAGAAGAGCCCGCCCUACGGCGUGCCCACCACCUCCACCCCGUACGAAGGCCCCACGGAGGAACCCUUUUCCAGUGGCGGCGGCGGCAGUGUGCAGGGGCAGAGCAGUGAACAGCUGAAUAGAUUUGCUGGAUUUGGUAUUGGACUUGCAAGUCUCUUUACAGAAAAUGUAUUGGCACAUCCUUGCAUUGUUCUACGCCGCCAAUGUCAGGUUAAUUACCAUGCUCAGCAUUACCAUCUCACUCCAUUUACAGUCAUCAAUAUUAUGUACAGUUUCAACAAAACUCAGGGACCUAGAGCCCUGUGGAAAGGAAUGGGAAGUACAUUUAUUGUCCAGGGAGUCACACUUGGAGCAGAAGGCAUAAUUAGUGAAUUUACACCUUUGCCAAGGGAGGUUUUACAUAAAUGGAGUCCUAAACAAAUAGGAGAACACCUUCUACUGAAAUCAUUGUGAAUUGGAAAUCCCCCAGCUUGCUGGCUCCCUCAGUGGGACAUUCCAGCACAUUAUUACUUAGUGAUGUUCCAUUCACCUUGAAAACCACUACUUGCCAGGACCUGGCCCAUAAGGGUUAGCCUAACUUACGUGGUGGCAAUGCCUUUUUAUUCAGCAAGUCUGAUUGAAACAGUGCAGAGUGAGAUAAUUCGAGAUAAUACUGGCAUUUUGGAGUGUGUUAAAGAAGGAAUUGGAAGAGUGAUAGGCAUGGGAGUGCCUCAUAGCAAACGACUUCUUCCGCUUCUUUCCUUGAUCUUCCCUACGGUGCUUCAUGGAGUUCUUCAUUACAUCAUCAGCUCAGUUAUUCAGAAGUUUGUCCUACUAAUUCUAAAGAGAAAGACUUACAAUAGCCACCUAGCUGAGAGCACUAGCCCUGUGCAGAGUAUGUUGGAUGCUUAUUUUCCAGAACUUAUUGCUAACUUUGCUGCCAGUCUUUGUUCUGACGUUAUACUUUACCCAUUGGAAACAGUUUUGCACCGCCUUCACAUUCAAGGAACACGCACAAUAAUUGACAAUACAGACCUUGGCUAUGAAGUGCUUCCAAUUAAUACACAAUAUGAGGGAAUGAGAGACUGUAUCAAUACCAUAAGGCAGGAGGAAGGAGUGUUUGGUUUUUAUAAAGGGUUUGGUGCUGUUAUAAUACAGUACACACUGCAUGCAGCUGUUUUACAGAUUACCAAAAUUAUUUACUCUACACUUCUUCAAAAUAACAUUUGAGAUUUAGGUUCCUUCACUGAGUAGUCUGGAAGAUAUAAUCUGGAUAAUUUGCUAUGAAGUUAUGAGGGAUACAAGUGAAAUACUGGGGAAGAAAAUGGAUUGGAAAGUAAAAUUGGUACUAAAGCCCAUACUGAUUAUCUUGACUUUGUUUUUUAAGGCAUAGGUAUAUAUUUUGGAUCAAAAUCCUUCCAAAUUUGAAAACUCAAUAAAAAUAACACUUAUUAAAUUCUAGUUAGUGUAGCACUCAUGCUGAAGUAAACAUGAUCGUAGGCAGAAGCAAAAUUUUAUUAUAAAAUCUAAAACAAAACUUUAUAGAGUUGAAUCUAUUCCAUCUGACUUCAAUAUUUGCCAAACGUUUAUUUUACCUCCUAGAUUGAUGUUGGUAUAGUAUCCUUAAUACAGUGUAGUAUAUUAAUGUCCUUAAUACAAUCAGGAGGUUUUUACCUUUAAGCAAAUAAAUUAUGUCAUUAUUGAAAAAGACUUAAGGGAUGAUUAGACUUGGCAAUCUGUAAGCAGGAGUAUAAAUGUUUUAAAUUGCAUUGUCCCUAUGUAACUAUCUUAAUGGCUAUAUAUAUGUAUUUUAUAAAGCCAUUUAUGUAUACACAUGUAACUUGGAAUUUCCUUCAUCCCUACACAUUUUCUACACUUACAUCACCUUAUUGCAUAAAACAAAGUCACGCGCUUUCUGCUUGAACAUCAAAAUAUCAAAAACCAAGGUACCCAAAAGAUACAAGUCAGAGACAACAUCCUUGUCCAUAUCCAAACCCAGUGUUUCAGUGCUAGCAACUUAAUUUCUCAUACAUUUAUAGAGUUUGGUUUGCUUUGCUAGUUGUGUGAAUCAUUGGGCUGUUUUUAGAGCCACUGUUAAGAGAGAAUAUAAAAUAAUCAUGACAAUUACUACUGUUUCCACAUUUACAAAUUGUGUACUUAAAUGAACCUCAUUUCCCUUUUAUUUCUGAAUGGCUUGUCUGAGAGGAAACAAAAUUAAAAUUCAUCUGGGAAUUUGUGCCUCUUGUCUAGUAUAUAGUCACCACUAAAUAAUGGCUUCCGUUUUUAUUUUCUUUCAGGUUUUGCUUUAAAUUUUGUUUUCCAAAAUAGAUGUACGUGGAGGGAAAAGCAAUUAUUCUUAUCACCUUUUAUUUAAACUUCUUUAGAUGAAUACUGAAGAAAAAUCCAAACCUUAAAGGAAAUGUGCCCUUGUAUUUUAUGGGUGAGGGGAAAAAGUACAUUUGUACAUUUCAACAUAUAAUAAGCAAAAAAAUUACUAAUCAGUUUAAUAAAAACAUUUUGUCUAUUCCUAAAUGUAAUUUGGUGGGUUAAGCACUUUGUGUAGUAAAAUGAUAUGUGUCUGCUCUAUCAUUAGACAUUUUAAAGUUUCAUGUCUUCACGUGAAUAAUCACAGUUGUAUCAUGAACCAUUUAGCGCUCUGAAGCACAGUGACUUUGCACUGAUAUUGUCCAACCAAGAAUGCAUACGAAUAGAAAUUCAUUUUACUUGCUAAAUGUCACAGAAAUGGUUACUUUUUGCAAAUAGUAGUGUUGGAACAAAAAAGUGAUAUCCAAAAAGUGUAAAAACAGUAAUAAGUAGCAAAUCUCUCGUGUGUGUGUGUGUGUAGUUACUGAAACACCUACAUUUUCCAUUUUUAAAUUCCACCAAAAGGGGGAAAAUAAAAUUAAACACCACUGAUCACAUUUUAUAUUUUAUGGUGACUAUUUUAGAUUAAGGUUUACUUUGUCCAACCAAUAGCAUUUAAAUUGUUUUCAAUUAGGAUAGUUUCAGAUAAGAGUAAACCAGAAAAUUUCAAGUUUGAAAAAUUUCUAGAAAAGAAUCUGAAUAGAAUCAAGUAUUUACUAGUGAAAAUCUGUAGGAUCCUUUGUUUAGCUAAAAAUUAAAUAUUUCAGGAUAUUUUUUGGAAGUUAGCAUGAAAAUAGUUAGUUACAUAAAUUCAUUUUAUUGUAGAAUAAUUAUAAGACUGAUAGGCUGAACCAUACACAAAUAAGGUUGAUCUUGUUUUCCUUUUUGGAGAAAGAGAAUACAAAUUAACAUUAAAAUUGAAAUGUAGAAAGUAAAAUAUGAAUAAUUUUUUACAACCACUCCAAAUUAGUUGAAACAAAAUCUUGAACGGUCACGCACUUAAAUUUAAGCUAGCCAAAUAUGUUGCACUGAAUUUUGAAAAGAAUGAGUGAGAUAACUGUAAGAUACGCUCGUUCCCUUUUAAAAAUUGUUAUUUUUCUUUAACAUGGGUGCCAAAUCAAAUAUCCAUGGGCUAUACUUCUUAAGAUAAUAACAGCUCAAAAUAAUAUUUUUUAAUUCAGUAGAACUAAUAGCAUUAUGGAAAAGAUUCUAUUAAAUGUUCCACAGGCCCACUGGUCCUCUUAUAUAAGCCAAAUUUUGGCCAUGGAGCUUGUGAUACACUUGCCUUACAUUGUAGGGUUUCUUAAUUUGAGUCAAGUACACUGAAAGCAAUUAAAAACUGGUAAAUAUUAAUUUACUAUGUAAAGUGAACUUACGAAUUAACUUACUAAAUACAUAUAUGUAGACCUUCCCGAAAUGCCAUUCUCAAUUUUAUUUUAUGGGCUCCAAAAAAAAUUAUCUGGGUUAAUAAGGUUAUCUAUUAAAGCCCCCAGAAUCUCAGCACUAGAUGUCAUAAAUAUGAAAUAGUAAAAACAAGGUCACUUGAAAAUGGGUAUUUAAUACCUUAGCUGGUGUUUUCAGAAGCAUACAGAACUGGAAAGGUAAGAACUUGCUUACUAUUGCAGAUAUACCUGACCACUCACAACUGUCUUUUUAGCAGCAGCUUUGUUAAAACUGCACAAAGCAUUCACUUUAUUGAUUGAGUACAAAUGCUUUAGUGUUUCUACCUAAGUAUUAGUACAUCUGUUCAGGAAAUGGAAAAAAAAAAUGCUGCUUAAAUUUGUUUUAUCAGCUGAGGUUGUGGAGGAUUUUUGUCCACUGAUCUUUUGCAACAGAAAAGCAUACUUUGUCAGCUUCUAAUAAGAUAGCCAGGUUUGAAUUAUUUGCAAAAUUUAUAUAAGCAAAUAAGAUCUCUUGGUAACAAUUGACAUUGCACUAGAAUUUGAAUGAUACUGUUGUUGGCAUUUCUGUUUCUCUUUCAAGUAGUUGUAAAUAAUCUCUUUUUCUCAUAUAAACGGAAUGCAUAAUGUCUUACUCUUGAGUCAUUUAGUAUCAUUGAUAUGGUACCAAGUUGUAUAGCAGAGUAACAAAAUCAUGAUUUGACAAUGAAAUUUACAUAUUGCCUCACCUAGAGAUGUUUUGUCUGUAUGACUUUUUUUUUUUUAAGUUUGUCUUACUGUUACUUUAAAUGUUUUGGGUAAAUUGUGUAAUAUGAAAAGUUCAAUAAAAUGUCGAAAUAAA